rnacentral:rRNA from 1 species
GAAAGGCGGGCUAAACCCGCGUACAUGCCACCGGGGCAUCCCGGAGGCAGGAAAGGCUUCGGCCGGACAGGGAUGGGCAUGCGGCGCAUUAGGCAGUAGGCGGGGUAACGGCCCACCUAACCGACGAUGCGUAGGGGUUCUGAGAGGAAGGUUCCCCACACUGGUACUGAGACACGGACCAGACUCCUACGGGAGGCAGCAGUGAGGAAUAUUGGUCAAUGGUCGGGAGACUGAACCAGCCAAGCCGCGUGAGGGAUGAAGGUACAGAGUAUCGUAAACCUCUUUUGUCAGGGAACAAAGGCGGGGACGUGUCCCCGGAUGAGUGUACCUGAAGAAAAAGCAUCGGCUAACUCCGUGCCAGCAGCCGCGGUAAUACGGAGGAUGCGAGCGUUAUCCGGAUUUAUUGGGUUUAAAGGGUGCGCAGGCGGUCUGUUAAGUCAGCGGUCAAAGCCCGGGGCUCAACCCCGGUCCGCCGUUGAAACUGGCAGUCUCGAGUUGGAGAGAAGUAUGCGGAAUGCGCGGUGUAGCGGUGAAAUGCAUAGAUAUCGCGCAGAACUCCGAUUGCGAAGGCAGCAUGCCGGCUCCACACUGACGCUGAGGCACGAAAGCGUGGGUAUCGAACAGGAUUAGAUACCCUGGUAGUCC